UACAAAAACAAACAACAUGCCCAAACAACACAUACCUGCUAUAAUAAUAGUAUAAUUAUAUCCAUAAUAAUAUAUAUACGGAGUCUCAGCAUAUGUUUUGUAUACCGUUACACGUAUUAUAUAAAUAAAAGACAAGAAUCAUUCCGAUCAUUGCUAUUUUAACUGAGUAACUUAAGCCAUGACUAACGUGUUUGUAUUUGCGACUGUGCUUCUUGUGUCUUUUGUUGUCGCUAUACCAACGGAUGAAGAAACCCCUCUAAGUUGUCCAGAUAAUGAAAAGUAUUACAAAUGUUCUCUUGAAGUAUGUUAUAAGAAGUGUGAACAUUUGAAAAAGCCAACGCCGUGUCCAAGUAUCUCUAGUGAUUGCUUUCUGCCAUCUUGCGAGUGUAAAAAUGAUUACUUGAGAAACAGCGAUGGCGUCUGUGUACCUUAUUUGGAAUGUUGAAUGUCAAUUGAAAUUAUGUGAACAUUUAGUUUCAGACGAAUGUAUUUGAUAAUUACAUAAAUCUGAUAUUGA